rnacentral:rRNA from 1 species
UACGGAGGGGGCUAGCGUUGUUCGGAAUUACUGGGCGUAAAGCGCGCGUAGGCGGCUUUGUAAGUUAGAGGUGAAAGCCCAGGGCUUAACCCUGGAAUUGCCUUUAAGACUGCAUCGCUAGAAUCGUGGAGAGGGGAGUGGAAUUCCGAGUGUAGAGGUGAAAUUCGUAGAUAUGCGGAGGAACACCGAUGGCGAAGGCAAUCCCCUGGGCCUGCACUGACGCUCAGGCACGAAAGCGUGGAGAGCAAACAGG